UUGGGGCUGGAGAGAUGGCUCAGUGAUUAAGAGUACUUGUUGCUCUUUCAGAGGACCUGGAUUCAAUUUCCAGCACCCACAUCAUGGCUCACAAUUGUAACUCUAGUUCCAGAAGACCUGAUGACCAUUUCUGGUCUUGGUAGGCAUAUUGUGGUACAGACACAUAUAUUUGAACACAUUGUACUAGUCAGGGUUCUCUAGAGUCACAGAACUUAUGGGUAGUCUCUAUAUAGUAAGGGAAUUUGUUGAUGACUUACAGUCUGUAGUCCAACUCCCAACAAUGGUCAGCAGCAGCUGUGAAUGGAAGUCCAAGGAUCUAGCAGUUGUUCAGUCCCACAAUGCAAGCAGGUGAAGGAGAGAGAGCAAAUCUUCCUUCUUCCAACGUCUUUUUGUAGGCCUCCAGCAGAAGGUGUGGCCCAGAUUAAAGGUGUGUGCCACCUUGCCUUUAACCACAGCUGACCUUGAACUCAGAGAUCUCCCUGUCUUAAUUUCCUGGAAUUCAUAUCCACCAUGCCUCUAGAUCUCCAUGCCAAGAUCCAGGUCAGAAACUUGUAUCUCCCAGCCCCCAGAUUGGAGUGGUGAGCCUUCCAAUUCUGGAUUGUAGGUCAAUUUGACUACAUCUGGGAUUAAGUAAAACUCAAAUAACUGUGAGGGAUUGUUUCUUAAUUGAAUUGUUAGAAGUAGGGAGACCUACUGCUAAUCAGGAUUUGAGGCAGAGGCAGAAGCAGGUGGAUUUCUGAGUUUGAGGCUAGCUGUUCUAC
rnacentral:lncRNA from 1 species